UAUACCGUGAAACUGCGAAUGGCUCAUUAAAUCAGUUAUCGUUUAUUUGAUAGUACCUUACUACUUGGAUAACCGUGGUAAUUCUAGAGCUAAUACAUGCUAAAAACCCCGACUUCGGGAGGGGUGUAUUUAUUAGAUAAAAAACCAAUGCCCUUCGGGGCUCUUUGGUGAUUCAUGAUAACUUAACGGAUCGCAUGGCCUUGCGCCGGCGACGGUUCAUUCAAAUUUCUGCCCUAUCAACUUUCGAUGGUAAGGUAUUGGCUUACCAUGGUUUCAACGGGUAACGGGGAAUUAGGGUUCGAUUCCGGAGAGGGAGCCUGAGAAACGGCUACCACAUCCAAGGAAGGCAGCAGGCGCGCAAAUUACCCAAUCCCGACACGGGGAGGUAGUGACAAUAAAUACUGAUACAGGGCUCUUUUGGGUCUUGUAAUCGGAAUGAGUACAAUUUAAACCCCUUAACGAGGAACAAUUGGAGGGCAAGUCUGGUGCCAGCAGCCGCGGUAAUUCCAGCUCCAAUAGCGUAUAUUAAAGUUGUUGCAGUUAAAAAGCUCGUAGUUGAACCUUGGGCCUGGCUGGCCGGUCCGCCUCACCGCGUGCACUGGUCCGGCCGGGCCUUUCCUUCUGGAGAGCCUCAUGCCCUUUACUGGGUGUGUAGGGGAACCAGGACUUUUACUUUGAAAAAAUUAGAGUGUUCAAAGCAGGCCUUUGCUCGAAUACGUUAGCAUGGAAUAAUAGAAUAGGACGUGCGGUCCUAUUUUGUUGGUUUCUAGGACCGCCGUAAUGAUUAAUAGGGAUAGUCGGGGGCAUCAGUAUUCAAUUGUCAGAGGUGAAAUUCUUGGAUUUAUUGAAGACUAACUACUGCGAAAGCAUUUGCCAAGGAUGUUUUCAUUAAUCAGUGAACGAAAGUUAGGGGAUCGAAGACGAUCAGAUACCGUCGUAGUCUUAACCGUAAACUAUGCCGACUAGGGAUCGGGCGAUGUUUCUAUCUUGACUCGCUCGGCACCUUACGAGAAAUCAAAGUUU
rnacentral:rRNA from 1 species